UGAGCCUUUCCCCGGCCUCUUUCCCCGCAAGCCGGCACCGCUGCCCAGCCCCGGGCUCAACAGCGCGGCCAAGCGCAUCAAGGUGGAGAAGGACCUGGAGCUGCCCCCCGCCGCGCUCAUCCCGUCGGAGAACGUGUACUCGCAGUGGCUCGUGGGCUAUGCGGCGUCACGGCACUUCAUGAAGGACCCAUUCCUGGGCUUCACGGACGCGCGCCAGUCGCCCUUCGCCACGUCCUCCGAGCACUCGUCCGAGAACGGCAGCCUGCGCUUCUCCACGCCCCCCGGGGACCUGCUGGACGGCGGCCUGUCGGGCCGCAGUGGCACCGCCAGCGGGGGCAGCACGCCGCAUCUGGGCGGCCCGGGCCCUGGGCGGCCCAGCUCCAAGGAGGGCCGCCGCAGCGACACGUGCGAGUACUGCGGCAAGGUGUUCAAGAACUGCAGCAACCUGACGGUGCACCGGCGGAGCCACACCGGCGAGCGGCCUUACAAGUGCGAGCUGUGCAACUACGCGUGCGCGCAGAGCAGCAAGCUCACGCGCCACAUGAAGACGCACGGGCAGAUCGGCAAGGAGGUGUACCGCUGCGACAUCUGCCAGAUGCCCUUCAGCGUCUACAGCACCCUGGAGAAACACAUGAAAAAGUGGCACGGCGAGCACUUGCUGACUAACGACGUCAAAAUCGAGCAGGCCGAGAGGAGCUAAGCGCUCGGGCUGGGCGCCCCUCACCUGUACAGUGGAACCCUUGCCAACCGCGAGAAUGCCGACCUGACUUGCCUCCGCGUCACCGCCACUUAGCGCCCCGUGUGUCCCCGGGGAGGCGGCACCCCAACCUAACCUGUGUCUGCGAAGUCCUAUGGAAACCCGAGGGUUGAUUAAGGAAGUAAACAAUUGUGGAGCCUUUUAACUGUGCAAUAAUUUCUGUAUUUAUUGGGUUUUGUAAUUUUUUUGGCAUGUGCAGGUACUUUUUAUUAUUAUUCCUUCUGUUUAAAUUCCUUUAAAAGAUUUUGUUGGGUAUUCAUCCCUUCUUCAUUUUUUUAACCCUAUAGUGGUCUGAGCAAUGACUCGUCAGCAAUGUAGAGGGGAAGCAUAUCUUUUAAAUUAUAAUUUUUUUUGGGGGGGGGCGCUGCUUUUUUGAAAUUUAAGCUAAGCAUGUGUAAUUUCUUGUGAAGAAGCCAACACUUAAAUGACUUUUAAAGUUGUUUACUUUUUUAUCCCCCCCCCUCUUUUUUUUUGGUCCUGAAAUAAAAAGUGGCAUGAAUUUUUAGGCUUUUUAUUUUAUUUUAUUUUAUUUUUCGGGGGGGAGGGAUGUACAGCGGAUAACAAUCUUUAAAAUUGUAGCACUUUGUUUCAGAAUUGGAAUGGAGAUGGAGCACUGAUGAUGUCCUGAGUCCCAGAGGCCUUUUCUGUGUUGAUGUCAAUUUUCACCUGGUAUAGGGAAAACUUUUAGUGGGGUGGUGGGGGAGACACCCACAAAGUACCACUAGAAAAACUGAUUUCGAGGGCUGCCCUGGGAAGAGGCCCCGAGCAUUCUGAGGUUGUGCAUUACCAGCAGAGAGCACCCUUUUCUUGGAAUGUGGGUGUGCCCUGGGAUGCCAUCUCUGCCCUUUGCUGUAGUUUUGGCUGGAAAAAGUGGGCUGAGGCUAUUUUUUAUGGAGUAGACAGUGGUGGUCUACAGUGACACAGAAAGGAAGGAACCAGCGGAGUUCUUUCAGGCUUCUUCUGACUUGACGACUUCUCUUUUUCUCACCCCCAUUCUAUAAAUCCCAAGCGCAUGUUGCUACCCGUGAUGACUGAUCAUUUCUCAAGCAGACAGACACCUUGAUGGUGAAUUGAGGAAGUUAGUGCCCACUUAUUCAGUGCACUCUGAUGACAUUGUAGGGACAGGGGGAACAUCUUACAGAUUUCUGUUCCCUCUCCCUAGAGAAGCAGAGGAAGAGCUCCAUCCAAAGGUGCCCAGCACUACUUCCCAGUUGUUUUUUUCUCGGAUUAGGUUGGAAGGUACUAACAUUGGACUGUUGAUAUUAGACAUUUGAAUUCUGUUGACCCGCACUUUAAAGCUUUUGUUUGCAUUUAAAUUAAAUGGCUUCUAAACAAGAAAUUGCAGCAUAUUUUCUUUGGCCCAGAGGUGGGUUAAACUGUAAGGGACAGCUGAGAUUGAGUGUCGGUGUUGCUAAGCGUGGCAUUCACAAUACUGGCACUAUAAAGAACAAAAUAAAAUAAUAAUUUAUUGGACAGUUUUUCUACUGCCAUUCAAUUUGAUGUGAGUGCCUUGAAAACUGAUCUUCCUAUUUGAGUCUCUUGAGACAAAUGCAAAACUUUUUUUUUUUUUUUAAAUGAAAAGACUUUUUAAAAAAGUAAAACAAGAAAAGUACAUUCUUUAGAAACAAAGCCACAUUUACUUUAAAUUAAAAAUAAAAUCCUGGUUGAAGAUACAGGACAUGAAAAUGCCAUAAGACCCAAUGAAGUGAGAAAAAACCCCAGCACAACCUUGGCCAUCCAUUAGCUCGGUUAUCCUCAGCCCCUUUUGUUUUUGGGACAACGCUGCUUAGUUGUGGAGUAGAGGUGACUUACUGCUGAAUUAAAACUCAAGUGACACAAGUUGAUAUCGUUGAAUGAAAAAACGACAAAACAAUUCAGGAACAAUGGCUAAUUUUUUUCUAAAGUUAAAUUUAGUGCACUCUGUCUUAAAAAUACGUUUACAGUAUUGGAUACAUACAAGGGUAAAAAAAAAUUGUGUGUAUGUGUGUUGGAGCGAUCAUUUUUUUUCAGAGUUUGCUUAAUAGGCUAUACAAAAAUGCCACAAUGGCUACGUGUAUAUUGUUUUCUUUUGGUGACGGGGUUUUAGUAUAUAUUAUAUAUAUUAAAAUUUCUUGAUUACUGUAAAAGUGGACCAGUAUUUGUAAUAAUCGAGAAUGCCUGGGCAUUUUACAAAACAAGAAAAAAAAACCUUUUUUCUUUUCCUUGAAAAUGUUGCAGUAAAAUUUAAAUGGUGGGUCUAUAAAUUUGUUCUUGUCACAGUAACUGUAAAGUCGGAGUUUUAGUAAAUUUUUUUCUGCCUUGGGUGUUGAAUUUUUAUUUCAAAAAGAAAUGUAUAGAAACUUGUAUUUGGGGAUUAAAAGGGGAUUGCUACACCAUGUAGAAAAAGUAUGUAGAAAAAAAAAGUGCUUAAUAUUGUCAUUGCUUUGCAGAAAAAAAAAAUCACAUUUCUGACCUGUACUUAUUUUUCUCUCCCCACCUCCCUCUGGAAUGGAUAUAUUGGUUGGUUCAUAUGAUGUAGGCACUUGCUGUAUUUUUACUGGAGCUUGUAAUUUUUUAACUGUAAGCUUGUCCUUUUAAAGGGAUUUAAUGUACCUUUUUGUUAGUGAAUUUGGAAAUAAAAAGAAAAAAAAAAACAAAAACAAACAGGCUGCCAUAAUAUAUUUUUUUAAUUUGGCAGGAUAAAAUAUUGCAAAAAAAAAUUUGUAUGUUGUCCUAUUGUACAGGAGAAGAAGGGUUGUUUGACAACCUUUGAGAAAAAGAAUCAAAAGGAAGUAGUUAAAUGCUUUGGGUCACAGAUCAUUUUAGUUGUAUAUAUUUUUGUCAGAAUUGGCCUGCACAGAGAACUGUUGGCUUCGGGCUUCCAUGUGGACGCCCGCCCUGACAUCAAGGCGCCUUGGUGUGGCCGCGGCAGGCCGGAUGGGAAAUGCUUUAUUUGUGUUGAGUGGAAAAAUCAGUUUUGUCAAGAUGUGGGUGACGUUUUACACAGUCCUCCCUUCUCCAGGAGGCCAUUUUGCAAGGUGGCAGCUGCAGAGGGGAGCCAGCAGGGUGGCCUUCCUUCUCUGCUGUCACUGCAUGGCACUCCCCACCACCUGGCCCGCUCUCGAGAGCAGAGAGAAUCGCAGACCGAGCUGCUUUAGUCCUUGAGAAAACAGGAGGCAGACAGAACGUGUAGCAGCAGGAGCUGUGUCCAUGGGGUCCCGCUGGAGGGGCCCCGCAGGUGGGACUGAGGAAGGGGACCCUUGCACCAGGACCUUCCGUUCCACCGAGUGGUGGCCAGUUUUUCUCCCCUGCUUCGCUGCUUCUGUCUCCAACCUACAUCUGUCCGUUUCCGGAUGCCGAGGGCCUGGGAUGAAUGAAUUCGGUGCCUUUCGUAUCUCUCCCUCUGCAUUUCCCCACCCUCCAGCCUCUGUUGGUCCUUUACCUGUUCAUUUCCUGUUGAUUAAAUUUCUUUUCUUUCUCCCUCUCUGUCUCUUCCACUCCUCUUUUUCUUCUUUCUUUUCUUCUUCUUCUUGUCUCUCUCUCUCUCUCUCUCUCUCUUUUUUUUUUUUGUAAAGCCAAGUAGCUUUAAGAUAAUAAUAAAAUGGUGGUUUUUUGGAUGAGGGAAUAAAACAUUUUUAACAAAUACCUAUAUCAGGAAGCCAUUUUUUAUUUCAGGAAAUGUAAGAAACCAUUAUUGCAGGUUAUAAAAAGAUAACCAAGCAUCCUUCUGGGCAAAUCUUUACCAAAUGCAGAAAUCUUUCUUCUGGGAGCUUUCUGUUUGUGNUCUUUCUCCCUCUCUGUCUCUUCCACUCCUCUUUUUCUUCUUUCUUUUCUUCUUCUUCUUGUCUCUCUCUCUCUCUCUCUCUCUCUCUUUUUUUUUUUGUAAAGCCAAGUAGCUUUAAGAUAAUAAUAAAAUGGUGGUUUUUUGGAUGAGGGAAUAAAACAUUUUUAACAAAUACCUAUAUCAGGAAGCCAUUUUUUAUUUCAGGAAAUGUAAGAAACCAUUAUUGCAGGUUAUAAAAAGAUAACCAAGCAUCCUUCUGGGCAAAUCUUUACCAAAUGCAGAAAUCUUUCUUCUGGGAGCUUUCUGUUUGUGCUGUCCCCCCCCCCACCACCCACCCCCCCUUGCCAUUUACCUUUGCAAGGUUAAAAGAAGGGGAGGGAGAGGGCCAUAAAGCUGAGAUUUCAGUUUCCUACCUGCUUGAGCCAAAACCCAGAGCUGCCCUUCCCUCCCACCGCCCUCCUAGCUGCCGGGAGCUCCACCGUGGUUCUCCUGUGGCUCUCAAAGCUAGCCAGCGCUCACCAGCUCAACCAAGUCACCAGAAUGCCAGGACUAAGCCAUCAUAAAGCACAAGGGUUGUGUCUCUGCCGACCGCAGAGAUAAGAGAGCUUUGCUUCUCUUUGGUGGUUAAGCAGGUGACCCAGUGAGAGGCCUCCAGCCUGGGUGACCCAGCCGACCUCAGGCCGGGUUCCACACUGCCACAACUUUGCCCAAAGUUGCCCCCAAUCGGAACCUGCCACUUGCCAUUGGAGGGUCUUUCAUGGGGAGAGGAGACUGAAUUACUCUAAGCAAAAUGUGAAAAGCAAGGACAUCAGCCCUUCAUCCCAGUCCGUCAGCUGAAGGUUUUGUUGAACACAGGCAAAUCCGUGAUUUUGGUGCUCUUUGUACCUCAGCCCUGCAAAGCAAAGUUACAUUGAUUUCAGUCGUUUGCAUUUGUACCGGCAAGGCGAAAUAUUUUUAUUACCUUUUCUAUUACUUAUUGUAUGAGCUUUUGUGUUUACUUGGAGGUUUUGUCUUUUACUACAAGUUUGGAACUAUUUAUUAUUGCUUGGUAUUUGUGCUCUGUUUAAAAAACGGGCACUCUUUUUUUUUUAAUUAUGGAUAAAAUGUUGAGAUGACAGGAGGUCAUUUCAAUAUGGCUUAGUAAAAUAUUUAUUGUUCCUUUUAUUCUCUGUACAAGAUUUUGGGCCUCUUUUUCCCUUAAUGUCACAAUGUUGAGUUCAGCAUGUGUCUGCCAUUUCAUUUGUACGCUUGUUCAAAACCAAGUUUGUUCUGGUUUCAAGUUAUAAAAAUAAAU
rnacentral:lncRNA from 1 species